rnacentral:rRNA from 1 species
GUACUCGAGCGGCGAACGGGUGAGUAACACGUGAGCAACCUGCCCCUGACUCUGGGAUAAGCCCGGGAAACUGGGUCUAAUACCGGAUACGACCGCCCCCGGCAUCGGGUGGUGGUGGAAAGUUGUUUCGGUUGGGGAUGGGCUCGCGGCCUAUCAGCUUGUUGGUGGGGUAGUGGCCUACCAAGGCGACGACGGGUAGCCGGCCUGAGAGGGCGACCGGCCACACUGGGACUGAGACACGGCCCAGACUCCUACGGGAGGCAGCAGUGGGGAAUAUUGCGCAAUGGGCGGAAGCCUGACGCAGCGACGCCGCGUGGGGGAUGACGGCCUUCGGGUUGUAAACCUCUUUCAGCAGGGACGAAGUUGACGUGUACCUGCAGAAGAAGCGCCGGCUAACUACGUGCCAGCAGCCGCGGUAAUACGUAGGGCGCAAGCGUUGUCCGGAAUUAUUGGGCGUAAAGAGCUCGUAGGUGGCUUGUCGCGUCUGCCGUGAAAGCUCGCAGCUUAACUGCGGGUCUGCGGUGGAUACGGGCUGGCUAGAGGUAGGUAGGGGAGAACGGAAUUCCUGGUGUAGCGGUGAAAUGCGCAGAUAUCAGGAGGAACACCGGUGGCGAAGGCGGUUCUCUGGGCCUUACCUGACGCUGAGGAGCGAAAGCGUG